UAUACAAAAUAACUUGCUUAAAUAAUUAAUAUAUCAUAGGCUAUAAUUAGUUUUUAUAGCCUAUGAUAUAGUUAGUUUAUACAAAUAUCUAUAUUUCAUUACAAAUAUUGAAAAUUUAGGUCCAAAAUAUCUAACCUACCAACUAAAUUUGCCUCAGUCUUUAAUCAUUGCGUUGCCAUUCCAGUUACGAAUAGUAUAGAGUUCAAUGUAUUUAAUAUAUUUUUUGUUGGCAACACUGAAAAUGUUCAGAGUGACCAACAUCAAGAAAACACAACCACGGUCAUUUUUGGGUAUGGUGGCCAUAUGCCUUAGCAGUCCAGGUAUAUUUAUUAAGUUCGUGCUUAUGACUCUAACGCGCAUUAUAUAAUAAUAAUAAUAUAUAUUACGUAAUAUGUUUACAUGUUACGCAUAAUUUAUAUUGCGGAAAUCACCCUUUAAUAGGCGUACUGGUUAAGCCAUUUGGUAUUGUAGUAAGUACCAUUUGCAUCAACUUUUUACACUUUUACCUCUUGGCAUUUUUGAUAGCGGGCUUUUGUUGCCAUUGUUUUUCCUAUCAUUUGAAUACCUUUUGGUAUUGGAACACCUAUGGAUUAUAUUGAUUUCCGUACUCGCUGCAACUUAAAGCUAAGCAAGGCAACGUUGUAUUGUUAAUUCAAUUGCGUUUUGGCUUUCUUUUCAAAUGGUGUAAUAUUCAGGUUAACAAAUUCGAGUUGAUCGAGGUUGGAAUUCGACCUCAUAGUUGUCACAUGGCCUCAUGGCGUCACUAUCCAUGUAAUGUGAAAGAUUACUUUAAUACAUUUUAUAAAAGACCCCCCAACAUCUUGAAGGUCUUAUAUUGUAACCAUAGCAGACAGGCACUUUGAGCAGAACAUCGUGUGCGUUGUAGCCAUACAUGCGAUGCCGAUCACCGAGAAGUGAUUUUUUAAAUGGUUGUUUCCGCCAAUACUAAUUACAAAGCUGGCAACCGCGCCGAUGUGCCUCAUCUCUUCGCGGACCCAUGGCUCGGUCUCUUGCACGCCGACCAGCAGCAGAUCAACAGUGUUCGAUUGAAAUUUAUGUUAUCGCGUUUUUGUACCGAUUUUAUUUGUCCUCCAGUCCUGAUUUUAUGGAAAUAAAGUUUAUGUUAAACUUAAAUACAGUACAGCAAUACAAUGGUUUUUAACAAACAUAUGUGACACGUGUCUGUAAUAAAUACUUUUUUAAAGA